CCUGGUUGAUCCUGCCAGUAAUCAUAUGCUUGUCUCAAAGAUUAAGCCAUGCAUGUCUAAGUACAUCCGAAAUAAGCGAAACCGCGAAUGGCUCAUUAAAUCAGUUAUGGUUCCUUAGAUCGUUUCUUCCUACUUGGAUAACUGUGGCAAUUCUAGAGCUAAUACAUGCAGUGAGCCUGGAGCCCUUUGGGUAACGGGUGCUUUUAUUAGACCAAGAUCGAUCGGGUUUCGGCCCGUAUUGUGUGGUGACUCUGGAUAACUUUGUGCUGAUCGCAUGGCCACGAGCCGGCGACGUUUCUUUCAAGUGUCUGCCUUAUCAACUUUCGAUGGUAGGUUACUUGCUUACCAUGGUUGACGGGUAACGGAGAAUCAGGGUUCGAUUCCGGAGAGGGAGCCUGAGAAACGGCUACCACAUCCAAGGAAGGCAGCAGGCGCGCAAAUUACCCACUCCCGGCACGGGGAGGUAGUGACGAAAAAUAACAAUACGGGACUCUUUUGAGGCCCCGUAAUUGAAAUGAGUACACUCUAAAUCCUUUAACGAGGAUCAAUUGGAGGGCAAGUCUGGUGCCAGCAGCCGCGGUAAUUCCAGCUCCAAUAGCGUAUACUAAAGCUGCUGCGGUUAAAAAGCUCGUAGUUGGAUCUCAGUUCCAGACGAGUAGUGCAUCUACCCGAUGCGACGGCUCGGACUGAACAUCAUGCCGGUUCUUUCUUGGUGCACUUCAUUGUGUGCCUCGAGAUGGCCGGUGCUUUUACUUUGCAAAAAAAAUUAAGACGUUUGCUCAAAAACGGCGCAGGCGAGUCGCCUGAAUAAACUUGCAUGGAAUAAUAGAACAAGACCUCGUUUCUGUUCUGUUGGUUUUUGGAAUACGAGGUAAUGAUUAAGAGGGACGGACGGGGGCAUUCGUAUUGCGGCGCUAGAGGUGAAAUUCUUGGACCGUCGCAAGACGAACUACUGCGAAAGCAUAAUUUGACUCAACACGGGAAAACUUACCCGGCCCGGACACUGGGAGGAUUGACAGAUUGAGAGCUCUUUCUUGAUUCGGUGGAUGGUGGUGCAUGGCCGUUCUUAGUUGGUGGAGCGAUUUGUCUGGUUAAUUCCGAUAACGAACGAGACUCUAGCCUAUUAAAUAGGUGCGGGGUUCCCAGCACCUUACAACCUUCUUAGAGGGACAAGCGGCUCCUAGCCGCACGAAACAGAGCAAUAACAGGUCUGUGAUGCCCUUAGAUGUCCGGGGCCGCACGCGCGCUACACUGAAGGAAGCAGCGUGUCUUUAUCCCUGUCUGAAAAGACUGGGUAACCCGUGGAACUUCUUUCGUGAUUGGGAUAGGGGCUUGCAAUUAUUCCCCUUACGUGUUGUGAUUCGAGGAAUUUCCCUAGUAAGCGCGAGUCAUAAGCUCGCGUUGAUUACGUCCCUGCCCUUUGUACACACCGCCCGUCGCUACUACCGAUUGAAUGAUUUAGUGAGGUCUUCGGACCGAUGUCCGUGUGUGCGGGUUCGAAGUUGGCAAGGGGUUGUUGGAAAAUGAUGGACCAAAAACUUGGAUCAUUUUAGAGUAAGUUAAAAGUGUACAAGGUUUCCGUAGGUGAACCUGCGGAAG
rnacentral:rRNA from 1 species